rnacentral:rRNA from 1 species
AAAUAGCCGCAGUAUUUUGACUGUGCGAAGGUAGCAUAAUCAUUUGUCUUUUAAUUGAAGGCUGGAAUGAAUGGUCGGAUGAGGGAAUAACUUUCUUUAUAUUAAUAAUUGAAUUUAAUUUUUAAGUAAAAAAGCUUAAAUUUUAAAGGGGGACGAGAAGACCCUAUAGAAUUUUAUUUUCAAUUAAUUAUUUUAUUUUGUUGAUUAAAACUUUAUUUUGUUAAUUUGUUGGGGUGACAUUGAGAUUUAUUUAACUCUCAUACUAUUUAAUUAUAUAUAUAUAUAUUUAUGAUCCUUUAUUAUGGAAUUUAGAUUAAAUUACCUUAGGGAUAACAGCGUAAUUUUUUUGGAGAGUUCUUAUCGAUAAAAGAGUUUGCGACCUCGAUGUUGGAUUAAAAUUAAAUUUAA